CCUCCUUUAUGAUAUGGAGGCUGCAUGCGUUGACGUGUCGCGCUGCUGCGCUUCCGACCCCUAGUAUUGGUAUGCGUCUCCUGCGGGCACGCACACUCUCUCGCCUCACACACAUACGCGCACUAAACACUCUCAUGGGGACAUGCGGCCAAGCGGACGCAGCCUGCACGUGUUCCUGUUUGGACACGACACUCCAGGAAAGGUGUUGGACUGUCCUCCGUAGUCAAUCUGUGCAGCACGGCUGCGAUGACAGCCAUCUUGGCUCCAGUGUAGGAGCAGAUGGACAGUACAGCGCUGAAAGGAAAACAGGGAGAUUAGUUUUUAAUUCUCCCCACAUGCACUUCAACCUCUUUUUCAAUCUUUGUUCUGACAAUGUUUUAGAGCCAAUUAUGAUUCGUGAAGCUGCUAAAAUCCAGUUCCGGUGCAUGGGCAUCACGGCUCCGCAGCAGAAGAAGAAAGAGGCGUCGCCUAAUGUCAAGAUGAAGAUGAAUGAAGAGGAGGGGCCUGGGCGGGAAAAUGAUACGAGAAUUAGUCAUUGAAUGCAUCACAGGCCUCUGGGGUCAUCAGGUCAAAUACCACAAAAAAAGAACUAUGUAAAGUUUUACUGCAGAUAUAUUUGGCUUUAUAUGUAUAAAAACUACUGUCACUGGCUGCUUAAUAUUCAAUAAAGUAACAAACACUGCUUUAAACUAUUUCUUGUAAUUAAAUUGAAUAUAAACCACUCUCCAGUCACCUAACAAACUUUUUUAUUAUAUAUAAACAUCCCUGACUCUUUGUUUGGGGUGUAACCUAUGAGCAUAUAAAGGAAACCGUGGGCCAUAAAAUACAAGUCCGACCAAUGGCGAUGAGUUACUGAUAUUAGGGAGAAAAACUAAAUGAUUGAUGCCAAUAUAUCAGCCAAAGUAAAUAUAUAAAAAAAUUGGCAAUGAUUCCUUAGAAGUAGGUUUGAUA